rnacentral:rRNA from 1 species
GAUGAACGCUGGCGGCGUGCCUAAUACAUGCAAGUCGAGCGAACGGACGAGAAGCUUGCUUCUCUGAUGUUAGCGGCGGACGGGUGAGUAACACGUGGAUAACCUACCUAUAAGACUGGGAUAACUUCGGGAAACCGGAGCUAAUACCGGAUAAUAUUAUGAACCGCAUGGUUCAAAAGUGAAAGACGGUCUUGCUGUCAGUUAUAGACGGAUCCGCGCUGCAUUAGCUAGUUGGUAAGGUAACGGCUUACCAAGGCAACGAUGCAUAGCCGACCUGAGAGGGUGAUCGGCCACACUGGAACUGAGACACGGUCCAGACUCCUACGGGAGGCAGCAGUAGGGAAUCUUCCGCAAUGGGCGAAAGCCUGACGGAGCAACGCCGCGUGAGUGAUGAAGGUCUUCGGAUCGUAAAACUCUGUUAUUAGGGAAGAACAUAUGUGUAAGUAACUGUGCACAUCUUGACGGUACCUAAUCAGAAAGCCACGGCUAACUACGUG